AUGAAAUUUAUGAAGUGGCAUCUUGUAUAUUUCGUCCAAGGCUUCAUGCACUCAUUAUGGUGGCUUCAAAGUCCUGGAAUCAUCACUUGUAACUCCGUUCUUGUUCCCCUUGCGCAUGCCAUCAUCUCCAUGCUUGAACUUGCUCCAAGGUUCAUCGUUCUUGUCCAAGCUAGGCCCUUCAUUUGUAAGCAAAACACAUGUACCCAAUUUAGGCAGCAUCAUAUUCUCAUGAACAUUAGAAUCGUUACCAAGAAACGGAAGUACCUGAUAUAUCAAUUGGCAUGCGCGAGCUCUAGGAAUUGGUCCAGUAUGUAUAGCAGUAGGGGCUGGUAUUGA
rnacentral:rRNA from 1 species